GUGGCCUGACCUGGCAUGUGGAAUCCCAGGAGUUUGAGCCUAGAGCCCAAAACUCCAGUUUCAGCUUUGGUGAGGUAUUCCAGGAGAAAAGGCAACCUUUAGGUGCUAAUCACUUGCAGCUAGUCAAUUCUGUAUGGAGAAGAAAGAUGGAAUUGGCUCUCUGCAGGUGCUGGAACUACAUUUAUUCCAGGGACUUCUUAUCUUUCCACUUUGGCCAGCACCAACUGCUUUUUACCAUCACUUGGUGAGGCAGAGAAAUGAAAAUCUGGACUGUAGGAACCUUAAAGUCUGACCUUGAUUCCUCCUCCUCAAACUCGACUAAAGGAGCAUGUCUGCUGGCCUGAGAACCUUCUCUGAAGAACACUUUCCUUAUCGUGCCAUCCUUUGGAGCCUUUAUGGUAUGCUGCAGAGACACAAGCCAGACAAACAAUGGUGGCAAUACUAAUGAGGACUGGGCUGCAAGAAUAUACAGCUGAAUUUUUAUUCUUGUUUUUUUGCUGUGCUGGGGAUUGAACCCAGAGCCUUACAUAUGUUAGGAAACUGCCCUACUGGUGACCUACAGAAGAAUUUUUAUGACUUAAGUAUGAAAGACUCUCCUGUAUUCAGGACUAUAAAGGAGACUGCUAGUACCUUACCAUUUGAAGUUAUAUCAGUCUAUGCUAAGGUUUGAAUGUUGUGGCCCCGCAACAUUCCUGUUGAAAUCUGCACCACAACAGUUUGCAGUAUUUGGGUCUCUGGUAGUCAGUUAGGUCAUGAAGGUUCUGCACUCUCAAAUAGAAUUAGUGCCUUUAUAAAAAAGGCCCCAAAGAAGUCCCGUGCCUCAUCUAUCAUGUAAGCACACAGUGAGAAGAUGGCCCUUUUAUGAAACCAGGAAGGAGACACAAACUCCAGGAUUUUCCAGCCACCAGAACUAAGAGAGUAAAAUUCUAUCAUUUAUAAGCUACCCUGUCUAUGGUAUUCUGUUAUAGCAGUCCAAAUGGGCCUCAACUCUGAAUAAAUCCUGGAUUCAACAUUAAGCCACGUUAUUUUUCACCAAUACCAGUCUUUCAAAUUUUACUUCAACACAGAUACAAUGAGGACUACUAGAGCAUCAUUAUUUCAUGACAAAACUGUCUGCUGUUAAAAUUAAAAACUUCAUUUUUAGAUAAUGCUUGGUGAGUGAUUCAUUUUAAUCCAUAAAAACACAGUUUGAGCUGGGCACAGUGGUAUGCACCUGUAGUUCCAGCACUUACGAGGUCUAAGGUGGGAGGAUCACUUGAGUUGAGGAGUUUGAGACCAGCUUGG